rnacentral:misc_RNA from 1 species
UUUCCGUAGGUGAACCUGCGGAAGGAUCAUUAUUGUGUAACCGAGGUGCGAGGGCUGUCGCUGACCCGAAAGGUCGUGCACGCCCGAGUGCCCUCACACACAUCCACCUCACCCCUAUGUGCACCACCGCGUGGGUCCCCCUUUGGCUUGUUCGGAGGGGGGCUUACGUUUUCACACAAACUUUGUAUGCAGUGUAGAAUGUAUUUUUUGUUUUUGCGAUCACGCAAUCAAUACAACUUUCAACAACGGAUCUCUUGGCUCUC